GAUGAACGCUAGCGGCAGGCCUAAUACAUGCAAGUCGAACGGUCCACUUCGGUGGAUAGUGGCGCACGGGUGCGUAACACGUAUGCAACCUACCUUACAUUGGGGGAUAGCCUUUCGAAAGGGAGGUUAAUACCGCAUAAGACAGUAACAUGGCAUCAUGUAGCUGUUAAAGAUUUAUCGAUGUAAGCUGGGCAUGCGUCCAAUUAGUUAGUUGGUGAGGUAAUGGCUCACCAAGACGAUGAUUGGUAGGGGAACUGAGAGGUCAAUCCCCCACACUGGCACUGAGAUACGGGCCAGACUCCUACGGGAGGCAGCAGUAGGGAAUAUUGGGCAAUGGACGCAAGUCUGACCCAGCCAUGCCGCGUGCAGGAAGAAGGCGUUCUGCGUUGUAAACUGCUUUUAUAUAGGAAGAAACGACCCUUGCGAGGGGCAUUGACGGUAUUAUAUGAAUAAGCACCGGCUAACUCCGUGCCAGCCGCCGCUGUAACAC
rnacentral:rRNA from 1 species